GAGCACGUAGGUGGGUUUGUAAGUCAGAUGUGAAAGCCUUCUGUUCAACGGAAGAAUUGCAUCUGAAACUACAAAUCUUGAGUAUAGGAGGGGAGAAUGGAACUUCUGGUGGAGCGGUGAAAUGCGUAGAUAUCAGAAGGAACGCCGGCGGCGAAAGCGAUUCUCUGGCCUAUUACUAACACUCAGUGUGCGAAAGCUAGGGGAGCAAACGGGAUUAGAUACCCCGGUAGUCCUAGCCGCAAACGAUGGGCACUAAGUAGAGGGGUUUU
rnacentral:rRNA from 1 species